ACGGUGAAGAGAUUUCGGUCAAAUCAUGUGCAUCUUUAGUGGCGGACGGGUGAGUAACGCGUGGGUAACCUGCCUUACACAGGGGGAUAACACUUAGAAAUAGGUGCUAAUACCGCAUGAGCGCACAGGACCGCAUGGUCGAGUGUGAAAAACUGAGGUGGUGUAAGAUGGACCCGCGUCUGAUUAGCUAGUUGGUGAGGUAACGGCCCACCAAGGCGACGAUCAGUAGCCGGCCUGAGAGGGUGGACGGCCACAUUGGGACUGAGACACGGCCCAAACUCCUACGGGAGGCAGCAGUGGGGGAUAUUGGACAAUGGGGGGAACCCUGAUCCAGCGACGCCGCGUGAGUGAAGAAGUAUCUCGGUAUGUAAAGCUCUAUCAGCAGGGAAGAAGAAAUGACGGUACCUGAGUAAGAAGCCCCGGCUAACUACGUGCCAGCAGCCGCGGUAAUACGUAGGGGGCAAGCGUUAUCCGGAAUUACUGGGUGUAAAGGGAGCGUAGACGGUGAUGUAAGUCUGGAGUGAAAGGCGGGGGCCCAACCCCCGGACUGCUCUGGAAACUAUGUGACUGGAGUGCAGGAGAGGUGAGCGGAAUUCCUAGUGUAGCGGUGAAAUGCGUAGAUAUUAGGAGGAACACCAGUGGCGAAGGCGGCUCGCUGGACUGUAACUGACGUUGAGGCUCGAAAGCGUGGGGAGCAAACAGGAUUAGAUACCCUGGUAGUCCACGCCGUAAACGAUGAUCACUAGGUGUGGGUGGGUAUGGACCCAUCGGUGCC
rnacentral:rRNA from 1 species